AUGUCGAUCUUGCUUGUGUUUUACUCGACAGGUACAGGAAGUCCUGGUUCUGGUGGAAUGGGUAAAGGAUGUCACUGGUCAUGUAGCGAAUGGGAUGCGAUGACAGUUUGGGAGGAGUCUGAAGAGACUCCAGAACCGUUGCAUGUUGAUCAGAGACGCCAAGCACUGCCGACGAAUCUCAAACUCUGUCUGGGUGAGACCUGGAGUCACCUCACCUGAGACCAAGACAUCUACAAGGCUUUUAAACCACCCAGAGCAAGCCAUUUUACUUUUGUUAAUGUUAUGUAUACCUAACAUGUGUUUAUUUUGAUUUUUUUGGUCAAAUACAAUAAAUUUGAUUCAAAAUUACAGUUAAGCAACUUAUAAUGUUUCAAUGAUUUCUAUUUUGAUAAAUUAUUGUCUUUUGAACUUUCUAUUAAUCUGAUUAUAGAAAGUUCAAAAAAUGUGUCUUAGUAUCUAUAAACCAUGCAGCACUAAGCACUGAAGCACACCUGUUUUUUUAAUAUUGAUAAUAAGAAGCACCAUAUCAGCAUAUAAGAAUGAUUUCUGAAGGAUCAUGUGACACUGUAGACUGGAGUAAUGAUGCUGAAAAUUCAGCUUUAAUUACAGGAAUAAAUUACAUUUUAAAAUACAUAAACAGUGAAAUAGAAAUAAUAUUUCACAAUUUUUACUGUAUUUUGGUCAAAUAAAUGCAGGCUAAGUGAGCACAUUAGACUCACACAAAACAUUUGAAUAGUAGUAUACUUCAAAAUGAAACUAAAUAAUUAACAACAAAAGAAAUGAAAAUUUUUUCCUUGAGGAUUAAUUGGUUUGUAAAAAGUAGGUAUUCCAUUAUCAUUAUAGUAUUGGCAAUUAAUGUGUUAUUAGAUGAAAGAUUUGUAAAGGCUUUAUUAUCUUCAACAGUGUUAUCUAUAACAAGGGCUAGAGACUGAUUUGGGUUUGUGACGAGGUGAGGGUGUGUGUGUGUGUGUGUGUGUGUGUGUGUGUGUGUGUGUGUGUGUGUGUGUGUGUGUGUGUGUGGCUUGACUGACCCAGCUAUCUCUGAGGAACUCCUCCUGUUUUCACAAACACAUUCCUGCAGUGACACCGUACAGACCCUGUAAAACAAAACAAAUCUACAGGAAACUGAAUUUGUAACCCAUUUUACUUCCCUAUUUUAAUGUACACUACUGUUCAAAGCUUUAGAGUCAUUUAUUUGAUCAGAAAUAUAGUAAAUCUUGUCUUGUCUUGAAAAUUGUGAGAUAACUGUUCUAUUGCAAUAUAUUUUAAACUGUAAUUAAUGUUAUUUAAUGUUAACUGAUGCAUGUUAAUGUUAUCUAAGACAAUAUUAUACAUUGUAUUAUAAGACAAAAAAGGUAUCAGUUUUAAUAACAUCGACUUUGAAACAUAAGUACAAACCACAUAAAUGUAACAGCUAAUGCAAGAUCUCUUGUUGGGGUGCAAAAGAUAGAUAAUAAGUUAAUAAAUCAUAUAUUUAAAAAAAAAGAUAGAUAAUAAGAUAAUACAUAAUAUAUACACGAUGAGGUCAGGGUGGUGACUAGCAAUUUCCAAUGCAAUUUAUUAUUAUUCAGUUCAUACUCAUAAACAUCAUAUUAUUUCUUAAUAUAAUUAAUAUUCUGCACAAUCCCAGAACAAUGCUUGUCUUCAGAAUCAUGAGCAGCAGCAAGGUUCCUGCCGUGUCCCCGAUCUCAGCUAUGAAUUGAAUGAAUACAUUGCAUUGAACGACAUACCUGCAAACUAGUUACUGUAGUUACCUGGACUCCAGUGAGAAUUAUUAAGGCACUGGGCUCUCGGUCGAAACGUACGCGUGAUUUUAAUCAGCUGCACUGAUCCGCCAACUUUCAACAUGAGGUAGAACA
ensembl:lncRNA